rnacentral:misc_RNA from 1 species
GAACCGCGAUAUUUUUUGUGACUUGCAGAUGUGAAUCAUCAAUCUUUGAACGCACAUUGCGCGGUGUGGUAUUCCGCACCGCACGGAUGGAAGAGCGUGUUCCCUUUGGGAUCGCAUUGCUUUCUUGAAAUGAAUCUAUUACUUCAAUAAACUCAUUUCACCUCUUUCAUCCGAGAUUACCCGCUGAACUUAA